UGGCUGUGAUGGCCCUUGGCGGAAGUGCAUUUAUUGCGCACUUGGUGUUGUGAACAUUUUGCUUUCGUAGUGUCCAGUUCGAUCCUCGCGGUUUGGGUACAGUACUGCUUGAGGAAUCAGUAUGUCAUACCCUGGUAAUUAAUAGCACCACCACUGGAGGGAAGCAAUUCAGCACAGUAAUGCUAUCCGUGACGGAGGCGGUACUGGAUGGCACAACGUUGGUUAGUUGACAAUACUAGAGUGACUUAGUGUUACGACUCUAACUU
rnacentral:SRP_RNA from 1 species